GAGAACGGGUAUUAGUUUACUAAUACUGUCAGCUAAGUGGCGCACGGGUGAGUAAUAUAUAGUUAAUCUGCCCCAAAGAAGAGAAUAAUUGUUGGAAACGACUUGUAAUGCUCUAUAUGCCUUUAUCACAUAAGUGAGCAAGGGAAAUAUUUAUAGCUUUGGGAUGAGACUGUACGGUAUCAGAUAGUUGGUGAGGUAAUGGCUCACCAAGUCUAUGACGCCUAACUGGUUUGAGAGGAUGAUCAGUCACACUGGAACUGAGACACGGUCCAGACUCCUACGGGAGGCAGCAGUGGGGAAUAUUGCACAAUGGAGGAAACUCUGAUGCAGCAACGCCGCGUGGAGGAUGACACAUUUCGGUGCGUAAACUCCUUUUAUUAGGGAAGAUAAUGACGGUACCUAAUGAAUAAGCACCGGCUAACUCCGUGCCAGCAGCCGCGGUAAUGCGGGGGGUGCAAGCGUUACUCGGAAUCACUGGGCGUAAAGAGCAUGUAGGCUGGUUUGUAAGUUGGAAGUGAAAUCCUAUGGCUUAACCAUAGAACUGCUUCCAAAACUGCAGACCUAGAGUAUGGGAGAGGUAGAUGGAAUUUCUGGUGUAGGGGUAAAAUCCGUAGAGAUCAGAAGGAAUACCGAUUGCGAAGGCGAUCUACUGGAACAUUACUGACGCUGAGGUGCGAAAGCGUGGGGAGCAAACGGGAU
rnacentral:rRNA from 1 species